rnacentral:sRNA from 1 species
AAGGGACCUAGCGUAGUUCGGAAUUACUGGGCUUAAAGAGUUCGUAGGUGGUUGAAAAGGUUGGUGGUGAAAUCCCAGAGCUUAACUCUGGAACUGCCAUCAAAACUUUUCAGCUAGAGUAUGAUAGAGGAAAGCAGAAUUUCUAGUGUAGAGGUGAAAUUCGUAGAUAUUAGAAAGAAUACCAACUGCGAAGGCAGCUUUCUGGAUCAUUACUGACACUGAGGAACGAAAGCAUGGGUAGCGAAGAGGAUUAGAUACCCUCGUAGUCCAUGCCGUAAACGAUGUGUGUUAGACGUUGGAAAUUUAUUUUCAGUGUCGCAGGGAAACCGAUAAACACACCGCCUGGGGAGUACGACCGCAAGGUUAAAACUCAAAUGAAUUGACGGGGACCCGCACAAGUAGUGGAGCAUGUGGUUUAAUUCGAAGAUACGCGCAGAACCUUACCAACACUUGACAUGUUCGUCGCGACUCUAAGAGAUUAGAGUUUUCGGUUCGGCCGGACGAAACACAGGUGCUGCAUGGCUGUCGUCAGCUCGUGUCGUGAGAUGUUGGGUUAAGUCCCGCAACGAGCGCAACCCUCACUUUUAGUUGCCAUCAUUAAGUUGGGCACUCUGAAAGAACUGCCAGUGAUAAGCUGGAGGAAGGUGGGGAUGACGUCAAGUCCUCAUGGCCCUUACGUGUUGGGCUACACACGUGCUACAAUGGCAUCUACAACAGGAAGCAAAACGGCAACGUUAAGCAAAUCCCGAAAAGAUGCCUCAGUUCGGAUUGCACUCUGCAACUCGAGUGCAUGAAGCUGGAAUUACUAGUAAUCGUGGAUCAGCGUGCCACGGUGAAUGCGUUCCCGGGUCUUGUACACACCGCCCGUCACACCAUGGGAGUUGGUUCUACCUUAAGGCAAGGUUUUAAACCCUUGACCACGGUAUAGUCAGCGACUGGGGUGAAGUCGUAACAAGGUAGCCGUAGGGGAACCUGCGGCUGGAUUACCUCCUUUCUAAGGAUGAGUGAAAGAGAAAAAUUUCACUCUAAAUAAUAUACAUCGGUAAUGUUGACCGUCCUCAUUUCUCUUCUUGAAGUAAUGUUUCCUUCUUAUAGGGCCGGUAGCUCAGUUGGUUAGAGCACACCCUUGAUAAGGGUGGGGUCGAAAGUUCGAGUCUUUCUCGGCCCACCAAACUUAAAUGGGGGAUUAGCUCAUCUGGGAGAGCGCCUGAUUUGCAUUCAGGAGGUAGCAGGUUCGAUCCCUGUAUCCUCCACCAGGAAACAUUUAGUUAUUAAAACUGUAAAUAAAAAUAAUUUAUAUCAAUAUCUAUAUCCGAACAUUAAAAGUUAUUAAUUAAUGUUCAAAAUAAAAAUUUGAUCACAUCAUAGAUAAAUUUUCUUUAGAAAGAAUUUUUUUCUGUGCAUAAAUCAAGUGUUUAAGGGCGUGUAGUGGAUGCCUUGGCACUGAAAGCCGAUGAAGGACGUGAUAUACUGCGAUAAGUUUCGGGGAGCUGUAUGUAAGCUUUGAUCCGGAAAUUU